AGCAGUGAGGAAUUUUCCGCAAUGGGCGAAAGCCUGACGGAGCAAUGCCCCGUGAAGGAAGAAGGCCUGUGGGUCGUAAACUUCUUUUACCAAGGAAGAAAAAAUUGACGUUACUUGGUGAAUAAGCACCGGCAAACUCUGUGCCAGCAGCCGCGGUAAUACAGGGGGUGCUAGCGUUAUCCGGAAUGAUUGGGCGUAAAGAGUUUUAAGGUGGCCUUUCCAGUCUGCGGUUAAAAAUUAGGGCUCAACCCUAUAAAAGCGGUAGAAACUAAAAGGCUAGAGUGCGGUAGGGGCAAGGGGAACUCCUAGUGUAGCGGUGAAAUGCAUUGAUAUUAGGAAGAACACCAAAGGCGAAGGCACUUUGCUGGGCCAGCACUAACACUGAUA
rnacentral:rRNA from 1 species